CAUCUUUUUAAGUGGGAGCACAUGCCACAAUUGGGCUGACCUAACUACUUUUUUUGCCCCACUGUACAGCCUGCAGUUGUCCUCUGGUCUCUAAAUGUUGUUUUAGUUUGUGUAUGGUUCUUGUUUGAUGUGUCCAAAAAGGAGGCUUGUUUGAUGUGUCCAAAAGGAGGUUAUUCUGUUUGAUUUGUCCACUAAGGAGGUUCUUUGAUGGAUCCAAUAAGGAGGGUUCUGUUUGAUGUGUCCAAUAAGGAGGUUUGCUUUUUAUUGAUGUGUCCAAAAAAGUAGGUUCUGUUUGAUGUGUCCAAUAAGGAGGUUCUGUUUGAUGUGUUCCAGAGGAAAGAUGUCCAAUAAGGCGGUUCGUUUGAUGUGUUCCAGAGUGAAAGAUGUGUCCAAUAAGUAGGGUUCUGUUUGCGUGUUCCAGAGUGAAAGAUGAUCCAAUAAGAGGUUUCUUGUUUGAUGCGUUCCCGAGGAAAGAUGUUGUACAAUAAAGGAGCGUUCUGUUUUGAUGUGUGCCAGAGUGAAAGAUUGAUCCCAUAAGGAGGUUCUGUUUGAUGUCGUCC
rnacentral:lncRNA from 1 species